CACGUAGGGUGCGAGCGUUGUCCGGAAUUAUUGGGCGUAAAGAGCUCGUAGGCGGUGUGUCGCGUCGGCCGUGAAAACUUGCAGCUUAACUGUGGGCGUGCGGUCGAUACUGGCAUCACUGGAGUUCGGCAGGGGAGACUGGAGUUCCUGGUGUAGCGGUGAAAUGCGCAGAUAUCAGGAAGAACACCAAUGGCGAAGGCAGCUCUCUGGGACGGUACUGACGCUGAGACGCGAAAGCGUGGGGAGCGAACAGG
rnacentral:rRNA from 1 species